rnacentral:rRNA from 1 species
UACGUAGGGGGCUAGCGUUGUCCGGAUUCAUUGGGCGUAAAGGGUGCGUAGGUGGCGUCGUAAGUCGGGUGUGAAAUCUCGGGGCUUAACUCCGAAACUGCAUUCGAUACUGCGGUGCUUGAGGACUGGAGAGGAGACUGGAAUUCCUGGUGUAGCGGUGAAAUGCGCAGAUAUCAGGAGGAACACCGGUGGCGAAGGCGGGUCUCUGGGCCGAAACUGACGCUGAGGAGCGAAAGCGUGGGGAGCGAACAGG